rnacentral:rRNA from 1 species
UACGGAGGGUGCAAGCGUUAUCCGGAUUCACUGGGUUUAAAGGGUGCGUAGGCGGACAAGUAAGUCAGUGGUGAAAUCUCUGGGCUUAACCCAGAAACUGCCGUUGAUACUAUUUGUCUUGAAUAUCAUGGAGGUAAGCGGAAUAUGUCAUGUAGCGGUGAAAUGCUUAGAUAUGACAUAGAACACCGAUAGCGAAGGCAGCUUACUACAUGUUCAUUGACGCUGAGGCACGAAAGCGUGGGGAGCAAACAGG